GGGUUGUUAGCUCAGUUGGUAGAGCAGCUGACUCUUAAUCAGCGGGUCGAGGGUUCAAACCCCCCACAGCCCA
rnacentral:tRNA from 1 species